rnacentral:rRNA from 1 species
UUACCUACGGGACGCAGCAGUGAGGAAUAUUGGUCAAUGGACGAGAGUCUGAACCAGCCAAGUAGCGUGAAGGAUGACUGCCCUAUGGGUUGUAAACUUCUUUUAUAUGGGAAUAAAACAGGGUAUGCAUACCCUCUUGUAUGUACCAUAUGAAUAAGGAUCGGCUAACUACGUGCCAGCAGCAGCGGUAAUACGGAGGAUCCGAGCGUUAUCCGGAUUUAUUGGGUUUAAAGGGAGCGUAGGUGGAUUGUUAAGUCAGUUGUGGAAGUUUGCGGCUCAACCGUACAAUUGCAGU